UACGUAGGGUGCGAGCGUUAAUCGGAAUUACUGGGCGUAAAGCGUGCGUAGGCGGUUGGCAAAGUCAGCUGUGAAAGCCCCGGGCUUAACCUGGGAACGGCGGUUGAAACUAGUCGACUAGAAUCUGGCAGAGGGGGGUGGAAUUCCACGUGUAGCAGUGAAAUGCGUAGAGAUGUGGAGGAACACCGAUGGCGAAGGCAGCCUCCUGGGCCAACACUGACGCUCAUGCACGAAAGCGUGGGGAGCAAACAGG
rnacentral:rRNA from 1 species